UACAGAGGGUGCGAGCGUUAAUCGGAAUUACUGGGCGUAAAGCGCGCGUAGGCGGCUUUGCAAGUCGGGUGUGAAAUCCCCAGGCUUAACCUGGGAACUGCAUUCGAGACUGCAUUGCUGGAGUACGGAAGAGGAAGGCGGAAUUCCCGGUGUAGCGGUGAAAUGCGUAGAUAUCGGGAGGAACAUCAGUGGCGAAGGCGGCCUUCUGGUCCAGUACUGACACUCAAGUGCGAAAGCGUGGGGAGCAAACAGG
rnacentral:rRNA from 1 species